UGGGACCCGGCAGGCACCUGAAGUGGGCGCAGACCUGGGGGGCUGAGCGCCGUCUGUUUGGAGUAGGCAGCGCUCCCUGGGGUCCUUUUUAUACUGAGGUUAAGUAUUCAAUCAGUCAGGUUUUCAUCCACGUCGGUUAUUUGUCUACUGAACCCUGCCAAAAACGCUCUUGGGCAGAAGGCAAAAUAAUGAAAUCGUGGCGCUAGCGUCUCAGGUCUGGGAGAUGAUCAGACUGGAUCCAGGGGACAGUCACGGUCACGAAGAACUGGACAGCAUGGAGGACUUUUCCACCCACACCAUUUUGAAAGGGGAAAAAUAUUCUCUUUGUGGACACUGAUCAAAUCAUGCUGUGUUUCUGGGUCAAGGAGGGAGAAGCCCACGCCAUGGGGCCGACCGCGCGGCUUCCUCGCAGAGGCCCGAUGACCCGGGGGACGGAAGGGGGAUCCCGGCAAAGGCCGUCCCGCGUGACCCCUUGGGAACGUCCCCUGCUCUGGUCAAACGGCGGCUUCCCCGCAGAAACGAGCCCCAAGAAUUACCCUUGUAAUCAUUAAAGCAGCUGUAAUGACAUGAAAUGUCUUCUGAUUGUCAUUUUUGCUUUUUUCUUGGCCUGAGUCUCAUCCUGGGGCCGGGAAGGAACCCUCGGCAGCAGCAUUUCCUGGUCGUGGAAGCUGCAGGUGGUGAGAUUUUACCGUCUAGUGAUUCCACACCCCGAUUCCACAUAAAAUCCUGUGGCAGCCGCAACCACACCUCUGCGAAGGGGAGCCCGGCUCACAGGCCGCGCCGACCCAAGCGGCCCCGCGGUCGGGAGCACAGAACACGGCUGCUGAGCCCCACUGGCCCCCUGCGCCGGGGUCGGCACUCAGGAGAAACAAUGUUGAUGCUCUGUGAAGUUGAAUGACUUGCACAAGCUUUCCUUAGAAAAGCCUCAGCCUGGAUCGCAGAUGUCCCGACUCCCUGGACCACAUUCUUCCCACCACAUCACAGCUGAGCGUUUGUACGACGAAGGAUCUGCCGGGCUGCCCCGGACCUGGCCACCGCACCAUUUUCUCCAACUGCGCCUCAUCCCCGGGGCAAAGGCGAGUGUGAGAUUCAAAAUAUCACGCCCAGCACAGAUGUCCAGGGGCUCCCUGCCUAUGUGUUCUUCUAGGAGUUUGGUUCCAGGCUUUACACUCAAGUCUUUAAUCCAUUUAUGGUAAGGUAGUGGUCUCCCACAUUCUUUUGCAUGUGGCUGUCUAGUUUUCCCAGCACUAUUUGUUGAAGAGACUGUCCUUUUUCCACUGUAUAUUCUUGGAUCCUCUGCCAUAAAUCAAUUGACCACACAUAGGUGGGCUUAUUUCUGGUCUCUUCUGUUCCAUCGAUCUGUGUAUCUUUUUUUGUGCCAAUACCAUACUGUUUUGAUCACUAUGGUCUUAUACUGUAGUUUGGAAUCAGGAAGCAUGGUGCCUCCAGCUUUAUUCUCCUGUCUCGAAUUGUUUUGGUUGUUCAGGUUUCCCUUUCCAGAAGUACGCACAGGAACAGAUUUGUUAUUAUGACCCAUCUGGACUGUGAUGGACAAUUUUUUCUUUCCAGAAAAAGCCUCUCAAGAGGAUUGGUUGUCUUUAGUUUCAGCUACUUUGGCCCCUUUUCAUGCAUUUUUAUGGCUACGUCAAUGGGAAGUUGGAAAGUCUUGCAUCCCAAAAUUGAAAAUAA